rnacentral:rRNA from 1 species
CCUACGGGUGGCAGCAGUGGGGAAUAUUGGACAAUGGGCGAAAGCCUGAUCCAGCCAUGCCGCGUGUGUGAAGAAGGCCUUCGGGUUGUAAAGUACUUUCAGUGGGGAAGAAAGCCUUGGGGCUAAUACCCUCGAGGAAGGACAUCACCCACAGAAGAAGCACCGGCUAACUCCGUGCCAGCAGCCGCGGUAAUACGGAGGGUGCGAGCGUUAAUCGGAAUUACUGGGCGUAAAGCGCGCGUAGGCGGUCUGAUAAGCCGGUUGUGAAAGCCCUGGGCUCAACCUGGGAACGGCAUCCGGAACUGUCAGGCUAGAGUGCAGGAGAGGAAGGUAGAAUUCCCGGUGUAGCGGUGAAAUGCGUAGAGAUCGGGAGGAAUACCAGUGGCGAAGGCGGCCUUCUGGACUGACACUGACGCUGAGGUGCGAAAGCGUGGGUAGCAAACAGGAUUAGAUACCCCUUGUAGUC